rnacentral:siRNA from 1 species
UGCGGAAAAGUUGUCGACGGUGAC